UUUAGUUUAGGCACUAUUCUUUUUUUCAGCUCGCAAAGGAAGCCGUUUUGUCCAGGUUAGGUAUUGUCUACUUAUGGAUCAGCCUCUGGCUAAGGGUUUAUUUUAAUUUAUGGCUUAUGCAUUCUUUUAAGGUCGAUUUGCAUGACCUCCGGCAAAGAGCUAAGGCAGCAAGAAAUCCCAGGUCGACUGUUGCCACAAAGCGGCACGCAUCUCCCCUUCCCCGGGUGUAAACAGAGCUCUCUGAUGAUGGACUGCCUUCUUCCCCCCUCCCUGUGUAUCACGAAUUAGGGCGCGAUAUCGAUUUUAAAGUUUUCGGUAUAACUUUAUCCAGGGCUCUGCCGGCAGAGAUAAGGCGGCGGCGGCGGAUCCUCGGGACAGCGCCGCGCCGUGGCCGAGCGCGGCACGGCCGCCGCCGCUCCCGCAGCUUUGUGUGCUCCCCGCAGCCGUCCCCGGCCAACUUCAAAGCACUCACCCACCUCAAACUUCGCGCAGAACCCACAAGCACCACUAAACUCCCCUCGCCUUUCUCCAUCCCGCGUCUCUCGGGGUUAUCCGCCAGGAGAAACCCACGCGAGCACUUCGGAGCAAUGACAGCAGCGCUCCGCUCUCAAAGAUUUAUUUCGGAUUUUAUUUUUCCUCUCUUUCUCCCUCUCGUGUUAGUUCCUUACGUACAAUAUCUUCCCGCACCAUGUGUUCGCCUGCCGUGGGUGAUCUUAAAAUACAACGCUGAUCUGUCACUACAUUUUAAAAUAAACUCUACUCGGGAAGGAUGAGAAAGUGUUGUGAUUUCAAGGUACUGGGGUCCCUUAACGUCUCGGAAACCUCGGGAUUCAAACAGCCCCGGAAACUCGCACGGGGACGAGACUAUAACUACUUUUCCCUAAAGAGAAGGGAGGGAGGAAAAAAAAAAAAAAAAAAGGAAGAAAAAAGAAACACAACACCCUCGUGAUAUCAAAGUAAAUAAUCGUGCAGGGGGAGGCGGGGGAAGGGGUGAAUUCAGCAAUGUUAAAAGCUAAACAACAGAUCUAUCUCCGGACGCUGCUGCUUCACUCAAUUGCAACUAAUAACCCAUUAAAGACAGCGCAGGGGGAACUGAAUUCUCUCCUGCAAAGCGACAUAAAUCCAGCGAAAACCCAUUAAACCACCGCCACCGCCACCAAGCCACGCAGCACUACACACCACAGCAAACAACAGUGAAGGCGAUGGUUACUGCUGUCAAUCUUGGCAAUCAAUGUGAGCGGCCAUGUCGUAAGUAUUCAAAGCAUUUCCCGUCGUGCAACAUCAGAAAGUGAGUGGCCAGGGCAUUGAUCUGAGGAAGGCAAAAGGAGGCAGGGCUCCCCCGCCCAGACAGCACAGGCAAGAUGAGACAACACAGGGAGAGAGAGGAGGGAGAGGGGAAGGGAGGGAGAGACAGAGAGAGAGGGAGAGAGAGAGAGAGAGGCUGGGAGCGAGCGGGGAGAGCAACAACUGCGGAGAAAGUGAGCACAAAACAGAAAGUGAAAUCGGCGCGGGCUGCCAGCCGCAUCCCCGCGCAGCUAUCACCACUCACAGGGCCAUUAGACACAUGAAACCCUACACCGCUCCGCUCCCGCUAAUGACCACUGAUUGCCCGGAGUGGUGAGGAAAGUUACAGAUGGAACUCACAGCGCCUGAGAGCGGCAACUUCUCGGCGGCAGGAAAAGAGGAUUCCUUGGGCAUUGUAUGCAAAUGUGAGUGUGUGUGUGUGUGCACGCUGCACGGGGAUAAUUGGGAUGCCCUCUUUGUUUGCAUAAGUGAACACCCGGCGUGCGGAUCCGUAUACACGUGCCGAGAAACAAGAAAACGCUUUCCCUUGGAGCGUUACCCCACUUUUAGAAACCGCGUUUGGAAUGACUGCUCUUGCUUUGGCUUCCUGAAGGCUAAAGGCAGGCAGAUGUUGAGGAGGGAUGCUGACCUGCUGGGGGUGCCUGCCCAGGGAAGGGACCGCAGGCGCUCACAUCAGGUCGGGGCACUUACCUGCGCACAGCUGUCAUGGCAUUUUGCGCCGUGUGCCUCACCAAAUGCCUUAAAGUAAAGCAGUGUUCAACAAGCGAGGCAACCUGUCUGUGUGCUAAGUUGUACGUACCGCAUCUUUAACCUGAGCAGCAAACCUGCAACUCCUGCAGAGUUGGCGGAACAGUCUCAGAAGUUUUGGAUUCAAAGGGCAAGAAAUUUCACUUUAAAAGUCAUUCACCCACUUCUUAACUGCCCUCUCACCCCAGUUAAUGCCGGACAAUUAAGAAGCAUGUUUAUAAAUUCCCUCUGCGGACACUGUCCGACAAUGAAGGCUUGUUAGAGGCUUGGUAAAGAUGUUCAGAGAAACUUUUGCGAAAUAAUCAACAGCAUCUGAGAGAAAGCUAAAGGAAAAGAAGUUAAAGCCUGAUAAUCCGAUUGGGAAAAAGUUUUGUUAGACUAGAUAGAAGUAAAUUACUGCACGUUUCUUCAAAAGCAAACCCAUCAGCUGAUACGAGUUCCCCUAGAACAAGAACCUCUGGCGAACUCCUCCAAAUUUAGGGGACGUUUGCAUUUUGUAACACUCAAAGCUAAAGAUCCGUCUGAAAACAAAACCUCUGAAUUCCUUACAGCGUCAUCUGCCAACAAAAUGUAUUGUCUUGGCAGAAAAAGGAUCAAGGAGAAUUUAAUUUCAUUUUUAACUGUGCAUCAUCUUGAUAGCGAAGGAAAAAGCCGCAGCAACAAUCUCCCCGCUCCACGCCCCCGCCGUUCAGAAAAAAAAAAAAAAAAAAAAAAAAAAAAAAAAGGAAGGGGGGGAAGAGAGAACUGGAAAAACCACAUAAACUUUUACAAAGAAAAUAAAAGCAAGUUCGACAUGAAAACCCCUUCCUGUCUCGGAAAGUUCAUUUUAAAGGUCCCUUCUGUAAAUCUAAAGUGCAAACACCAGGCUAAGGUAGUGAGUGGCUGGAAUUUGCAUGCUGAUAAGAGAAGGCUGUUGUAC